AAAUAUUUUUAUGUCCAUGUUACAGAUGGUGAAACUGAGAUACAGGGAGAGAAGCUGCCUUGCACAUGGUCAUGCAGCGGGCCAAUGACAGAACAGAACCCAGAUGACUGGCAAGCGGCAUCCCCUUAGCGUGGUGGGGAUGAAGAGUUUCAGCUGCAUCAGUCGAAUAAGGACUCUGCUCUCUGACCUACCAGCUAAAUCCAAGACAUCGUGUUUGAGAAAUGUCAGUGAGUAAUUCCACAUUCCUGCCUUACAAAUUCCUGUAGCAGGUGGAAGAUAUUGCUCAAGCUCUGGUGGAGUCAGCCUUGAUGUUUGAUGGGAGAGUUACACCAGCCAACUAGUAACACAGUGAGAUGCAUUGUGUUAUCCAUUUCAAUAUCCUGUGCAAUGAGAUAACUUGAGCUUUAAAAUGCCUCGCUAUGGCUGGAAAAAGAUGGGAUAACAGUUUAAAUGACUUUGUCUUGUCAUUGUAAUAAAGUAAAAUCCUGGAUA